GUGCUUACACAUGCAGUCGAACGCUGAAGCUCCAGCUUGCUGGGGUGGAUGAGUGGCGAACGGGUGAGUAAUACGUGAGUAACCUGCCCUUGACUCUGGGAUAAGCCUGGGAAACCGGGUCUAAUACUGGAUACGACGUCCUACCGCAUGGUGGGGCGUGGAAAGGGUUUUACUGGUUUUGGAUGGGCUCACGGCUUAUUUUUUUGCUGGUGGGGUAA
rnacentral:rRNA from 1 species